rnacentral:misc_RNA from 1 species
CGCACGCUUUCAUCGUGCUUGUUGGAGGCGUACCGCCGGACAUACCUUCCAUACAGAUCCAUAGAUUGGCGUCGUGGCCUUGCCGCCUGUCGUGCCUCUCGACGGACUUGCUUCUCUGGCGCAGGGGUGGGGGCUGGCGAAUACGCAUGCACGUACUCACGAAUCGUAGACGCGGCCCUCUUCCACGAUCUCUCCUUGAUGCGGAGUGCCCUCUCGACAACGGGCACGAGACACCGGCACGCCCGGGGACCCACUAACACUACUCCCAUCACGCCACUACACAUGCCGCCCUCCAGGGUGCACCCUGACGUGAGAGCGAUGGUGGUUGUCGUGGACGUGGUCCGCCCUCUUGCGCAGGCGACAGUCUCCUCCUCGCCAACGACGGCCCUUGCGGUUGAGCGCCUCGAGAUCGACGUGGAUGUUGUACCCUUUAGCACAACGGCAGACGCGCUGCUCACGGAUGUGGCGGUGGCUCUGCAGGAGAUGCAGCUGACCAUGUGUGUUCCCCUGCAGGCGGCCGCGUUGGCAUCAGGGAGAGUGUUGCCUCCGGUAGCGUGGAUACAGGAAGCUGUGGUGGUCAGUGCCAGCAGUGGCUUAGACAGGUGGCAACGCUCAUCGACCCCGUUUCUCGGACGCCGCUACGCAGCAGCUGUGCAGCACGCACAGAACUCUGUAGACUCCCGCCAGAUGCCCGCUGCGGCGCCUGCGUUGUCGUCCUCGCUGGUGCUUCGCAUCGGGAGCGACUACGUCGUGGAAGACAUGACAGGGCAACUCAGCCCGCCAACUGCCGUCUGGUCGGUUGUGCCUCAGUCAAUGGAGGCUGCCAGCAGCAUUGCAGGCAAGCCGCCUGCACAGGCAGCACUACUUAUCACGUCCUCCCCCCAUCUGCUGACCCCAGACCGCGCGCCAGAGGGUGUCGCUGUGGAGGCACACGGCGCCCUGCACGCACCUCUUGCUGCUCUGCCGCCGCCCUCACGAGGCAGCGCUGCGACGAUGAUGCCCGCCUCCAGCCGCGUUCGUGGCGGCGAUCUGCUCCCUGGCUCUCAGCCCACCGUAGCCUCCGCCGCCGUGGAGAGAGCUGCCGCAGAUUUCAGCCAAGACGAGUGCUUGUCGAUGCCCUCCCUUACUGUCGGCUCCACCGCACCGCCACUGUCGCCACCGCCACCUCUCCCGCAGCAGCAGUCACCGACACGUGCCGUAUCCCUCAAAGAUGCCGACGCGGUCGCCUUCGGCCACCUGCAGGCCCACCAGGCACAGAUACUGAAUCAUGACACUCAACGCUGCGACGACUCGCCCAACGCCAGCACCUCCGUUGCCGCCCCUGCGGAGGAGCAGAGGCGCCUUCAGCGCACUCUUUCCUGGGCCGCGGCCGAGACUGCCGUACAGGCGGAGGUGGAGCGUCUGCAGGCAGAGCACGUGCUCACCGGAGAGCAGGGAGAAGGAGGGGCAGCGACAGCGACGAGAAGGGGCGCUGGCGCGAAUUUCAAUGAUGCCGCCAGCGGCGAUACACACGAAGGGACGGCAAUACACACAGCAGGACGGCGGGACGGCGGCUCUGCCUCCGACACAUUUUCUCCACCGCGACUGCGAGCGCAGUCGCUUGCGGCACUCAGAGAGGAGAUCGGUGCCUAUGAGCGCGAAGCAGCGACGCUGCGCCGGGCAACGGAGAAGGCACGGCAGUGGCGAGAGUCGACGAAGCAGCAGUUGUGCGAGGAGGUCGCACGGCUGGAGAGAGAAGCAGUCCAGCGGAGUGCGGCGCUGGCAGAGCGCGACGUGCUGCGGCGCCGAGUGGAGCAACUGGAGGUGCAGGUGGCUGCUGCGAAGGCGAUAGAGGUGGCGCUGCUUGUGACGCAGGGGACCGCAGCCGUGCUUCCACCAGCGUCAGCAGAUGCCCAGCGAGCAAAGAGAGAUUGCCGAGCCAUAGGCGGUUCUGCCAAGUCGCACCGGCCGUGUGUGACAGCGGCGAUCACGAUGCCGGCCCUCGAGUGUUUCAGUGACAAUUCCGCAUCGGAGCAUGGCGACUCCUCCGAGCACUCGUCGCCAACACCGCCACCUGCGCCAGCGUUGCCGCCGCCGUCACAGGCCUGCCGAUUGGCGCCUCGCGUGAACGGACAUGCUGCGGAAUCCGGUAUGGGUGCGCAUCGCUGGUCUGGUAGGCGUGUUUCUCUUACCCAUUGCGACAGGGCAGCAGCGCCAACGACAAGCACUGCAUAUUUGCUGCCUGAGGCACAACGGCAGCCCUCGCACAGUCGGAGCGGGCUCGGUAUCGAGAGAAGCUUCCUAUCACCAUCCCUUGAGGCCGAGGUGCGGGCAGCGCUGGAUAGCGACGACGACGACGCCGGCUCGUCCGUUACAGACAACCGCAAAAACGGCACGGCGAGUGCAGAGGCAACGACCGGAGGUGGUAGCGCGUGUGGCUGUGACACGAUAGCGGGGAAGGGUGCGGAGGCGGCGCGGCAGCCACCUGCGGUGGGGACGCGGGGGCGAAGGCAGUGAUCGACUGCCACCGCGAGUCGCACUGCAGGCGACGCUUCAUUCGAGCUGCUCACGGCUUCUUGGAUGACUGUGGAUGCCGCUGCUCCUGCUGCGGCUUGUGCUGCCGUCGGGGCAACUCCAUUCCGUAGGGCCGUCAGGACCGCCUCCUCGCCUUACCCCGCCAGCCCCUCUGCGACGUCUCCACAUCCGCACCGGGCGGGUGCAGCAGCGCUCGCCUUCCUGCCUUGUUCCAGUGGAGGUGGCGAAGGCGCCACGCGGCACGGAAUCGGCGCCUAUCGGCAACCGCGGAGAGGAAUGGCAAAGGUGACAGCGGCUGCCUCUGUUGCUGAGUGCAGCGCCACUGCUGUCCAUCUCGGACUCACAGACAGGCACCUUGCCCGUAUCGCUCUCGGCCACGGUGACGUGACGUCGCUGCCGAUGGACGUGUCGAGUGUGCGUGACAGCAGCCGCCGCAGUCCUAGUAGGGGGCGGGCCGCCGUCACGACGGCUGGGGCAUGGCUACCUGUUCCCGUCGUGGCGCACCACCUCUUCCUCCUAGGAGGGGCGAUCGCGGCGCUUCCAGAGGGCUUACCCACAUUCUCCUGCCACCCAGACAACGAUGCGACGACUCUCUCUCGUUCACUUUGCAUGUGCGUGUGUGCGUGUGUGCGUGUGCGCGUGUGCGCGUGUGUGCGUGUGUGCGUGUGUGCGUGUGUGCGUGUGUGCGUGUGUGCGUGUGUGCGUGUGCGUGUGUGUGCGUGUGCGCGUGUGUGCGUGUGUGCGUGUGCGCGUGUGUGCGUGUGUGCGUGUGUGCGUGUGUGCGUGUGUGCGUGUGUGCGUGUGUGCGUGUGUGCGUGUGUGCGUGUGCGCGUGUGUGCGUGUGCGUGUGUGCGUGUGCGCGUGUGUGCGUGUGUGCGUGUGUGCGUGUGCGCGUGUGUGCGUGUGUGCGUGUGUGCGUGUGCGCGUGUGUGCGUGUGCGCGUGUGUGCGUGUGUGCGUGUGCGCGUGUGUGCGUGUGUGCGUGUGUGCGUGUGUGCGUGUGUGCGUGUGUGCGUGUGUGCGUGUGUGCGUGUGUGCGUGUGUGCGUGUGUGCGUGUGUGCGUGUGUGCGUGUGUGCGUGUGCGCGUGUGUGCGUGUGCGCGUGUGUGCGUGUGUGCGUGUGUGCGUGUGCGCGUGUGUGCGUGUGUGCGUGUGUGCGUGUGUGCGUGUGUGCGUGUGUCGGCGUCCGCUCAGUGUCGGGCGCCCACACGGAGAACAGUACUCGGGCGCUUUAUGCGGCGCGCGUUACACUUUCAACGGUUGUGCAGCCACGCGCCCCCUCCAAGCGCAUUCUCCCGUGCGCGGACAAGGAUGUCUCGAGCACGUCGCGGCCCGAGUUGAGGUGAAUGCCACUACAAAAACUCUAGAACACACCCACAACGACCUCAAUCAGCGAUGAACGGUAACCACCGCUACCGUGAGUCUUGCGUUGGGUUGCCACCGUCGCCCUGUGACGCACGCUGCCGCAGCACCAUUUCUUCUCUCCUGUGCAUGGAGGAGGCCGCAUGCUGGCGCGGCGCCGCAUAGAGUGCGCUUGCCCACGGAUGCACGUGCGACCAGCGAUAUGCAUCUCGCCGGGUUAUUUCUCUUCUUCCACUCUCAUGGACUUGGCAGCCUUUCCUUUCCCUUUUUCGCUCCGGUCGAGAUGCUACAACUGCUGCCAUCAUUCUCGUCGGACGGUACGCCCCCCUCCCCUCCUACCACCACCACAACUGCGCUGCACAGAAGGAGCAUUGGCUUCGGUGAGGUGGUGUGCAGAGGGCGGAUCUGUUACGCUUCCUCUUGUUUUUUUUUUUUUCUGCUGAGGUGGGUGUGGGAGUAACGCGUGCGUAUGCGCUUCCAUUUCUCCUCUCCAGCACGUCUGCCCCGCGCUCCGGCCACGACGAUGGCUAUCCGCUCCUUACCUCUCCUCGGCUGCACCAGUGAGCGUUUCGCCUGUGUGUGUGCGGCGUCUCCGCUAGCUCUUUCUGGCGGCUCUCGGCCGCGGCGUAAGUGCGUGCGUGUCCUGCGUGCCAGCCUUCUCUCCUUCAAGUUGGGGAGGCUGCAAGCCGGCUCUACGGCCUCGUCUGUGCAUUCGAAGUGCACCCCCCCCCCCCCCGCUUCCCCCUCGCGCCAGCCGGGCGACGUCGCAAGGCGUUUGGCGACAUCGCCCUAUAACCGGUUAGACGGUGGGGAUGGAGCCCCCCUCUCCAUCAACACAACAGGC